CCUCAAGCUCCAGUGAUGCCCAAACUUGCCAUUUCCACAGAAGAAAACACUGAAGCUGCGAGGAAGGCACAGCUGAGGGCCCACAGCAGAUGGCAUUGGGGAGAACCAGCAUCCUACUUCUAACACCACUGAAGAAUUUCACCUGCAUUUGUGCUUCUUGUAAAUGGGAUCCUGCGGCGUGUUCUCUUGUGUGCCUGCCUUCUUCCACACACGGCAUGUCUGUGAGGCUCAUCCAUGUAUUGAGAGCUGAGAGGCGGCUGGCUCUCUUUGUGCCGGAGGGUAUUCCAUUGUGUGAAUGCACCACCAUUGAUUUCUCCAUUCUACAGCUGAUGGACAUUUGGGUUGCUUCCAGUUCGGGGCUGUUAUAAAGAGCCAGCUGCAUGGGUUUUCACACUGGUUGCAGUGUGCUGGCCAGUGCCGGUCCCCCUCCUCAAGUGAAAGCUUCGUGAAGCCAUUUGGAAUGGCACCGGCCCCCGAGCUCCCCAGACAGCAUUGUCAGACUCUGGCAGAUGCAGAUCUUAGAAGAGAAAGGCCGCAGCACUCCACCUGUGAAAACUGCCUCUUGUUUUCAUGGAAAAAAAAAAGUUUCUUUAAAAAAAAAAAAAAGAUCAGCAACUGAGAACAGAAGUCAGCAUUGUUUGCAUAAUCCCAGAGUCUUGAGCAGCUGGCCAUGGGGAAUUUGGAUGGGAGAUAAUAAGGCUUCAGAGGAGGAACUCAAGCACACAGAGGGUGAA
ensembl:lncRNA